AUCCUCUUCCUGUUUAUUUCAAUCUGGUUGGCAUUUUACUCCUAAUUAGAUGUUUAAUUUAGCAUGUACAGCCAAAUUAAAUGGGGACAUUUUACAUUUCUAAUGUACGUGAAUGAUGUGCUAGGUCAUGCUGACUGUUGUCAGGCGAUCGGAAACUUCUGGCAAAAAGCUAUUGAAAUUAUCGCACAUUCUGCUUCUCCUCACGUGUCCUGUGCAGUCGAGAGGGGAAGCCCGGUUGUGCUGAGAUUCCCUCCCAUUAUACUAAGGAAUUACUUCUUGACUCUUGCACCAGGUCUUGCACAGCAGUGGAUGGAGAUCCUAUGUCCUUCAACUUGGGGCAAAGCUUGAGAGGGCACUUGCAUUGGUAGAAGAUACAGGACCCUGAGGGCACAUACCACCAGACUUAAGGACAGCUUCUAUUGCACUGUGAAUGUGGAGAGCUGGAUGGCUACUAAUUACCAAGGGCAUUGAAGACCCAUACAAUAUUCAUCUUUUAGAGCAGCAAAUUUGGAGAAGUGAAAGAAUAAAGUACAGCACAAUGCCAAACUAAAACCAGAAAAGACUGGUUCAUGCAUGUAAUGGUUCGUUAUACUGUAAAGUGUAUGACAGGAGAUAAAUUAUUCCCAGAGAAGAGAAAGACAUUUAUCAAAUGCAAUCUGCAGGCAACAAGACAACCGACAGCAUAAUGAACAUGGAGCUCAGCAGAGAAUGGCAAUAAGUGUUACAGAGCUCAAGAAAAAAAACGCUAUGGAAAGAGGGCAACAAGUCUCAAAAGAACAGUAAUGUCAUGGGAAGAAUGUGUACAGCAACAAAGAGAGGAUGUGUGAGAGGAUUAAGAGUAAAAAUGUCAGAAUAGAGAGAAAGAGGAAGGGAGGAAGCCAAUAAAUAAUGCAGGACACUCAGAUGAAAAUCAGACAACCCAGGGUUAAUUCUACCGGUGACUGAGGACAUGGUAUUACUCCCAUUUGUUUGGGUCUAAUAUACUUGACUCACAGCAGAUGCUUGAUGGGUACUUCAGAUUUGUUUGUCAGGGAUUGACAACUAUGGUCCAUUCCGUAGUGCAGCUUCACUGCUGGCGUCCAUGGAGGUAGAAAGGCCAAGAAAAAAAUGAGUGUGGCAAGGGCUUGUAGGAUACUGGGCUUGGACCAAAAGCUCUGAACCACACAAUGAGCUGCCAGGCAAUUUCAUGGAACAGGAAACCUGCAGCUGAUUAAAGUGCUCUUUCUAUCUACUGCUUGUCUUUUGCCAGGCAAUAAUGAGAAGAGCAUUUCCCAAGCACCCCAUAAAUAAAUCAAAAAAUGAUUGCUCUAAGGUUCAAUGUUGAAGGUAGUUAGGAUAAGCACAAGCUUCCCAAAAUGCCAAUGUUUUGACAGUUUAUGUUGCUUGUAAGUUUAUCUUUUCCUGCUCUCUGGUCUGUUAAUUACUACUUGUGUGACCAAAUAGAAAAUGCUUUGCUCCCCAAAGUGCUUCACAGUCCAUUACAGCUGGUCAUUGACUUCAGGAAGUGGGGUGGAAUAAACACCCCUGUGUUUAUUAAUGGUACUGAGGUGGAGAUAGUUGAGAGCUUCAAGUUCUUGGGUGUAAAUGUCACCAAUCGCUCAUCCUGGUCCACAUAGACAGUAUGGCCAAGAAAGCACACCAGUGCCUCUAGUUUCUCAGAAGGUUAGGGAAAUUUGGCAUGACCCCGAUGACCCUUAACAAUUUUUACAGAUGUACCAUAAAAAUAAUCCUAUCCGGAUGCAUCACAGCUUGGUAUGCCAACUGCUCUGCCCAGGACUGCAAGAAAUUGCAGAGAGUUGUGAUCACACCCAGUCUAUCAUGAAAACCAGCCUCCCCUCCAUUGACUCUGUCUACAUUUCCCGCUGCCUCGGGAAAGCAGCCAGCCUAAUUAAAGACCUUGCCCACCCUGGUCAUUCUCACUUCUCCCCCUCCUGCUGGGCAGAAGAUACUAAAGCUUGGAACACAUACCACCAGGUUCAAGGACAGCUUCUAUAAGAAUUUUGAACGGACAUCCUCUGCAAUAAAGAUGAACACUUGAUCUCUCAAUCUAUCUCGUCAUGGUCCUUGAACCUUACUUAUCUACCUGCACUGCACUUUCUCUGUAACUGUAACACUAUAUUCUGCAUUCUGUUACUGUUUUUCUGUUUGUACUACCUAGAUGUACUUAUGUUUGGAAUCAUCUGUCUGGAUGCCAUGUAAAACAAAGCUUUUCAUUGUAUCUCGGUACAUGUGACAAUAAUAAACCAA